rnacentral:misc_RNA from 1 species
CGCACAUUGCGCCCGCCAGCACUCUGGCGGGCAUGCCUGUCCGAGCGUCAUUUCCACCCUCAGGCCCUGUUAGCCUGGCGUUGGGGCUCUGUAGGCCAGUUCCUGCAGGCCCUCAAGACCAGUGGCGGGCUCGCCUAGAACUCAGAGCGCAGUAGUUUCUCCUCGCUCAGCGGGUUCUAGGCGGGUUUGGCCGUUAAACCCCUAAAUUUUUAGAAGGUUGACCUCGGAUCAGGUAGGGAUACCCGCUGAACUUAA